UUUCCCCGCCCAAAGGCAGGCCUUCUGUGCCUCUGAGCAUCCAGAUUGCGAGAAGUCUCCAGGCGCAGAGUUCGCGGGCCCUGGUGAGCCAGGUGCCAGAGGGUCAGCGGGGAUCUCUCGUCGAGGGGAGACGCCCCAUUUUAGCUCUCGCGAUCCCUGGAGACCGAUGUCGAGGCCUGAGAGAAACUUUUCUCCCUCCCAGUGUUGAGCAUCUCCUCGGCUUUGACCCCCAGGGACCCUGGCUGGAAACAGUUCCUGAGAACUGCGCCCUGCUCAGCGCAAAGUCUUCAGGGGGCGAGUGAAAGCCUGAAGAAGCUCCAGGCCCCCCAAAAGUGCUUCCUCCUCUCCGCUGGCCGCUCCACUUUAGAGGGUGGAGUUGAGAUCACUAACCCGGGGGCAGAGCAACCAGAAGAAAUCUGCCUUUCCUCGGGUGGUGGAGAGUCCCUUUCUCCCCCCUUUCCCUGGAGCUUGGCGAAGGCCAAGGUCUAUGCAGCAUCCAGCCAAGCUGAGGACCAAGCAGUUCUCUGGUGAAUCAGGCCACCAGAUAUUUAUCGCACACCUGCCAUGUGCCAGGAACUUCGCCAUCAAGCAGACUCGCAGCUCGGAGGGCGAGGUGGACAUUGUAAAGAGCGAUCAAGACUGUGUUGUGGGCAGCGCGGGAGCACGCAUGUGCAAUGUGCCCGGGAGGCGUCCAGGAGCUGGAACUGGAAGGAGGAGCCGGGAGUGGAGCAGGGAGGCCUCCCCGUUUUUUAUUUUUGAGGUCGGGUGUUAUCAGGGGCAGGUAGAUUAGCCUUGCUUUUAUUCUAUUAAGCUGAAGUGAAGGGAAGCCUCCUUUCUCUCCAUCCUUGACAGUAUUCUCUUUGAAGAUGAUAAAAGAAGAUUGAACCACUGGUUCACUUGUUUGCUCGUCUGAAAUUCGGCCUCAGUGCGGUUAUGCGUGCCCCAUCUCAGCCAAAGUAAAGGAACUUUCUGCUUUACUCUUCUCCAGCAAAAACAGCAGUCAGUCAAAAUAAACAACCGUUGGAAUCCAAACGCUGGCUCCUCCUACGGAAAACGCAAAAUAUUUUCCUUUUAUAUUGAUAGAGGUCCCCGGGGUGCCUGGCACGGCUGUGCGCGCAUCUUCAGCGCGCGCCCACCUGCGCGCAGAGCCGAGCAGUGAUCAGGCCUUGAUCCUGCCAGCAGGCCGCCUCCGCCCCCUCGCGGUGUCCGCUGUCAGCCCAGGGCCGAGUCAGCGCCUGCCCUCCAUCCGCUCGAGGCCACAGCGGCGAGAAGGCUGGACCGCCGCGCGCCGGGAGCCGGGCAGGGUCGGCCGGACCCCCGCUGCCGCUUCCUCCAAGCCCUGCUGACCUCUAGUGGUCACAAGGUAGAACUGAACAGGACGCUGGGCCAGAGGGGGAAGCAGGCAGGGUUUGUCUCAACCCUCCGCGGGUCUCACCCCAGGUUUGCGCCUUAGAAUCACCUGGGAGCUUUGAAAAUACCCCGUGUCUAGGCCCCACCGCAAACCAGUCUCCGACGGUGGGACCUCGCGUCGGUUUUUUUUAAGGUCCGCAGGUCAUUUUAAUGUGCAGCCGGGAUUAAGAGCCGUUGGUCAAAAUCGGGCAUUCGUUGCCCUCUAAUGUGCGUGUGCCAGAGCAGGUGGCUUUGAUGCCAGCGUCUGAAUAUGGCCGAGUAUGUCUGCUCUCAAGUGUGCCCCUGAGUAGAGUGUCUGAGCACCCGUAUGGGCUUUUGUGCCUCCCUGACGGCGUGUCUCUGAUGCUGGUGUCUGACGACCGUGGGGGUCCUGUGCCUGAGUGAGUGGCUGCAUAGGGUGAGUGAGCUGGGGUGGAACUCGUAACCUGGGCACAGUCUCAAGAAGCAAAGGGUCCUGGGGCUGGCCCCGUGGCCGAGUGGUUAAGUUCGCGCGCUCCGCUGCAGGCGGCCCAGUGUUUCGUUGGUUCGAAUCCUGGG